rnacentral:rRNA from 1 species
UACGUAGGGGGCGAGCGUUGUCCGGAGUUACUGGGCGUAAAGCGCACGCAGGCGGUCUGUUAAGUUUGGAGUGACAGUUGGUGGCUUAACUGCCAAAGUGCUUCGAAAACUGACAGACUUGAGGGCUUCAGAGGGACACGGAAUUCCGGGUGGAGUGGUGAAAUGCGUAGAGACCCGGAGGAACACCAGUGGCGAAGGCGGCGUCCUGGCCUGCGACUGACGCUGUGGCGCGAAAGCUAGGGGAGCGAACGGG